UACGUAGGGUGCAAGCGUUGUCCGGAAUUAUUGGGCGUAAAGGGCUCGUAGGCGGUCCGUCACGUCGGGAGUGAAAACUUGGGGCUUAACCCCAAGCCUGCUUCCGAUACGGGCGGGACUAGAGGUAGGCAGGGGAGAACGGGAAUUCCUGGUGUAGCGGUGGAAUGCGCAGAUAUCUAGGAGGAACACCAAUGGGCGAAGGCAGCCCACUGGGACGUGACUGACGCUGGAGACGCGAAAGCCGUGGGGGAGCAAACAGG
rnacentral:rRNA from 1 species